rnacentral:rRNA from 1 species
UACGUAGGGAGCAAGCGUUGUCCGGAAUCAUUGGGCGUAAAGCGCGCGUAGGUGGCUUCGUAAGUCCGUUGUGAAAGUCAAAGGCUCAACCUUUGAAAGCCGAUGGAUACUGCGGAGCUAGAGUACGGAAGAGGCGAGUGGAAUUCCUGGUGUAGCGGUGGAAUGCGCAGAUAUCAGGAGGAACACCAAUAGCGAAGGCAGCUCGCUGGGACGUACUGACACUGAGGCGCGAAAGCGUGGGGAGCGAACA